GAUGAACGCUGGCGGCGUGCCUAAUACAUGCAAGUCGAGCGAACGGACGAUGAGCUUGCGUCUCUGUUGUUAGCGGCGGACGGGUGUGUAACACGUGGAUAACCUACCUAUAAGACUGGGAUAACUUCGGGAAACCGGCGCUAAUACCGGAUGAUAUUUUGAACCGCAUGGUUCAAAAGUGAAAGACGGUCUUGCUGUCACUUAUAGAUGGAUACCGGCUGCAUUAGCUAGUUGGUAAGGUAACGGCUUACCAAGGCAACGAUGCAUAACCGACCUAAGAGGGGGAUCGGCCACCCGGGAAGUGAGACACGGUCCAUAGUCCUACGGUAGGCAGCAGUAGGGUAUCGUCGGCAAUGGGCGAAAGCAUGACAGAGCAAGGGGGAGUGAGUGACGGAGGUGUUGGGAGCGGAAAACUCUGUUAUGGGGUAAGAACAGAUGUGUAAGUAGCUGUGCACAGCGUGACGGUACCUAAUCAGGAAGCAACGGCUAACUACGUG
rnacentral:rRNA from 1 species